rnacentral:rRNA from 1 species
CCUACGGGUGGCAGCAGUGAGGAAUAUUGGUCAAUGGACGCAAGUCUGAACCAGCCAUGUCGCGUGCAGGAUGACGGCCCUAUGAGUUGUAAACUGCUUUUGUACGGGGGUAAACGCAGAUACGUGUAUCUGUCUGCAUGUACCGUAUGAAUAAGGAUCGGCUAACUCCGUGCCAGCAGCCGCGGUAAUACGGAGGAUCCGAGCGUUAUCCGGAUUUAUUGGGUGUAAAGGGAGCGUAGGUGGGCGGAUAAGUUAGAUGUGAAAGCCUGAGGCUCAACUUCGGAAUUGCCAUUGAUACUGGCCGGCUUGAGUGCAGUUGAGGUAGGCGGAAUGUGUGGUGUAGCGGUGAAAUGCUUAGAGAUCACGCAGAACCCCGAUUGCGAAGGCAGCUUACCAAGCUGCUACUGACGUUGAGGCGCGAAAGCGUGGGGAGCAAACAGGAUUAGAUACCCGAGUAGUC